rnacentral:rRNA from 1 species
AUUGAACGCUGGCGGCAGGCCUAACACAUGCAAGUCGAGCGGAUGAAGGGAGCUUGCUCCUGGAUUCAGCGGCGGACGGGUGAGUAAUGCCUAGGAAUCUGCCUGGUAGUGGGGGAUAACGUCCGGAAACGGGCGCUAAUACCGCAUACGUCCUGAGGGAGAAAGUGGGGGAUCUUCGGACCUCACGCUAUCAGAUGAGCCUAGGUCGGAUUAGCUAGUUGGUGGGGUAAAGGCCUACCAAGGCGACGAUCCGUAACUGGUCUGAGAGGAUGAUCAGUCACACUGGAACUGAGACACGGUCCCGACUCCUACGGGAGGCAGCAGUGGGGAAUAUUGGACGAUGGGCGAAAGCCUGAUCCAGCCAUGCCGCGUGCGUGAAGAAGGUCUUCGGAUUGUAAAGCACUUUAAGUUGGGAGGAAGGGCAGUAAGUUAAUACCUUGCUGUUUUGACGUUACCAACAGAAUAAGCACCGGCUAACUUCGUG